GGCCGCGGUAAUACGAAGGGGGCUAGCGUUGCUCGGAUUUACUGGGCGUAAAGGGCGCGUAGGAGAACAGUUAAGUUAGGGGUGAAAUCCCGGGGCUCAACCUCGGAACUGCCUUUAAAACUGGCUGUCUUGAGUACGGGAGAGGUGUGUGGAACUCCGAGUGUAGAGGUGAAAUUCGUAGAUAUUCGGAAGAACACCAGUGGCGAAGGCGACACACUGGCCCGUUACUGACGCUGAGGCGCGAAAGCGUGGGGAGCAAACA
rnacentral:rRNA from 1 species